rnacentral:lncRNA from 1 species
AUGUCCUCUGUCUCCGAGCUCGCCUGCAUCUACUCAGCCCUCACUCUGCAUGACAAUGAGGUGACCAUCACGGAGGAUAAGAUCAAUGCCCUCGUUAAAGCAGCUGGUGUAAAUGUUGAACCUUUUUGGUCCAGCUUGUUUGCAAUGGCCCUGGCCAAUGUCAACAUUGGGAGCCUCAUCUACAAUGUAGGGGCUGGUGGACCUGCUCCAGCAGCUGGUGCUGCACCAGUGGGAUCCUGCCCACUCCACUGCUGCUGCUCCAGCUGAGAAGAAAGUGGAAGCAAACAAAGAAGAAUCUGAGGAGUCUGAUGAUGACAUGGGCUUUUGGUUGUUUUGACUAA